AAAGUCGUAACAAGGUUUCCGUAGGUGAACCUGCGGAAGGAUCAUUACAGUGUUUAGGUGUGGUGCGCCCCGUUCGCGGUCAGCGUGCCCCCAAAACCCCACCCUUGAAUACUAUACCAUCUGUUGCUUCGGCGGGCCCGCCCCUGGGCCGCCGGGGGGAUCUCCCCCUGGUCAGCGCCCGCCGAGGACAAAUUUGAACCCUAUGUAAAUAUUUGGCUGUCUGAGUGAGAUUAUAAAUCAUUAAAACUUUCAACAAUGGAUCUCUUGGUUCCG
rnacentral:misc_RNA from 1 species